ACAGCAGUCGCCGCGGGAACACGGAGGGAGCUAGCGUUGUUCGGAAUUACUGGGCGUAAAGCGCACGUAGGCGGUUAUUCAAGUCAGAGGUGAAAGCCCGGGGCUCAACCCCGGAACUGCCUUUGAAACUAGAUGACUAGAAUCUUGGAGAGGUCAGUGGAAUUCCGAGUGUAGAGGUGAAAUUCGUAGAUAUUCGGAAGAACACCAGAGGCGAAGGCGACCGACUGGACAAGUAUUGACGCUGAGGUGCGAAAGCGUGGGGAGCAAACAGGAUUAGAUACCCCCGUAGUCCCUGUCUCUUAUAC
rnacentral:rRNA from 1 species